rnacentral:rRNA from 1 species
ACAGGGGUGGCAAGCGUUACUCGGAAUUAUUGGGUGUAAAGGGCAGGUAGGUGGUCCGGUAAGUGAGUGGUGAAAUCCUGCGGUUCAAUCGCAGAACUGCCUUUCAAACUGCUGGACUUGAGAGAAACAGAGGAUGAUGGAAUUCCUGGUGUAAGGGUGAAAUCUGUAGAUAUCAGGAAGAACACCAACGGCGAAGGCAAUCAUCUGGGUUUCUACUGACGCUGAGCUGCGAAAGCUAGGGGAGCAAACAG